rnacentral:rRNA from 3 species
CCAUUGACUUGGACAAUUUUGACAAUUUGACC